GGAAAGCCAGGAACACAGUUUGAGCAGAGGAAUUUUUUUAACCACAGUCACUUUACUCAUAAGCACUUGAAAGUUAGGCCUUGUCUACACAACCAAGUUUGGAUGACAAAAACUGCCUUAUGUUGACAAAAAAUGUCCAUUUUUGGUGACAAAAUGCAACCAUCCCAACAAGAGACAUACAUCCUUUUCCUCUAAAUUUUUCUUAACAAAGUGCCAGCGUAGAUAAGACACCACACUUGAUUUCCAUCACUUUAAUUGACCUCUUGGAGGUGUCCCACAAUGCCCAUUGUGACCGCUCUGGUCAGCAGUUUGAACUCCACUGCUCUGCAGCCAGGUGACCAUGGCGGGUUAUCGCACCAAACGCUCUCCCCUUUGGACCACUGCUGAGCUGUUGGAUCUGAUCAGUAUAUGGGGAGAGGAGGCUGUGCAGUCACAGCUGUGCUUGAGCCGUAGGAAUUUUGAAACCUAUGGGCUUGUGCGAAAAGGGCUAUGAUCAGGACACGCUGCAGUGCAGAGUGAAGAUAAAGGAGCAGAGGCCGGCAUACCAUAAGGCAAGGGAGGCAAACCGUUGCUCUGGUGCUUCACCUAAGACCUGCCAGUUCUACAGGGAGCUGGACGCUAUCGUCAGUGGCAACCCCACCUCCACCACCUUGUGGGCUUGGAGGCCGCGGAAAGAGGACCUAACCCAGAGGAUGAAGUUAUUGAUGAAGAGCUGGAGUUAGAUGAGGAUGUGCAGCUCCCGGCGGGGUGACCCAGUGAGGCAGGCAGCCAGGAACUGUUCUCCGCUCCAGAGGUGUCUAGCCAGUCUCAGCAGUUGCUCUCCGGCAAGCAAGAAGCAGGAGCUGAGACUUCUGAUGUGGCCUUCAGGAACACCCCACACACCCCAGCUGAGUGUCUCCGCCAGAUAAGAAAUCACCCAAGACACAGCAAAGAAGACAUGUUCCGGGAGGUCCUGCAGUGCUCCAAUGCAGAGAAAAGGGAACGCACGGAGUGCUGGGAAGCCAAAUGGCAGGACAGAAAAGAGAAUCAGGAGUUUGUUAAGGACGCAACUGAGUGGAUGAUUACAGUAAUGGAGGGGCAACCGCAGAUGCUGAAGUCCUUGAUAAUGCUGCAGACUGCAGCACAUUCAGAACACUUUUCUAUGCCCUUCCCCUCCUCCCCCAAUUCUGCCUGUACAUUCCUUUCCACUUUCCGGAACUUCUCGGUUUCCCAUUCACUCCACCCCCUCAGACAACUUUUACAAUGAUAACUAGACCUACACACAGCUGUGAAAGUCUGCCCUUCCCUAGUUCCUCCUUUCCCACCAAGCAUCUUUGUGUGUUUGUGUGUGCUGUUUUUUGUGCAAUAAAAGCAAAGUUUUCAAAAGGUAACUCAGCUUUAUUUGUUUUCUAUAAAUUGAGAUUGCAGGCACUAUCAAUACAUGCACAGGCAUUCUAAUCAUUUGCUUACUGGCAUAUAAGGCCCCAAAUGUCGCCAUUGCAUCCUAGGAAAACUACAUGUAAUGUAACAUUGCAGCACCAAUCACGGAGAUAUGCAUUACUGCUUCUCAUUUUCAAAGUGUUGCCUCAAAGCCUCCCUGAUUCAAAUUGCUCCCUUCUGGUCACUUCUGAUAGCCCAGGUAUCUGGCUGCUCAAAAUCAGCAGCCAAGAGGU